NNNNNNNNNGAUAGCUGGAACUUACGGCAGUUUUAUCAGGUAAAGCGAAUGAUUAGAGGUCUUAGGGUUAAAACAACCUUAACCUAUUCUCAAACUUUAAAUUGGUAAGAAGUCCGACUUGCUUAAUUGAAGCCGGACAGUGAAUGCGAGUUCCUAGUGGGCCAUUUNUGGUAAGCAGAACUGGCGAUGCGGGAUGAACCGAACGCGCGGUUAAGGUGCCAAAGUCGACGCUCAUCAGACCCCACAAAAGGUGUUGGUUGCUCUAGACAGCAGGACGGUGGCCAUGGAAGUUGGAAUCCGCUAAGGAGUGUGUAACAACUCACCUGCCGAAGCAACUAGCCCUGAAAAUGGAUGGCGCUCAAGCGUCGCACCUAUACCGUGCCGUCGGAGCAGAUGCGAAGCUCCGACGAGUAGGAGGGCGUGGGGGUCGUGACGCAGCCUCUGGCGCGAGCCUGGGUGAAACGGCCUCCAGUG
rnacentral:rRNA from 1 species